rnacentral:rRNA from 1 species
GACGAACGCUGGCGGCGUGCCUAAAACAUGCAAGUCGAACGAGGGUAGUAAUACCUUAGUGGCGAACGGCGGAGUAAUACAUAAGCAACGUGCCCCGAAGACUGGGAUAUACAGCCGAAAGGCUGGGCAAUACCGGAUGUGACGAGAGGAUGGCAUCAUCUUCUCAUUAAACAGUUUUUUGCUUCGGGAGCGGCUUAUGGCCUAUCAGGUAGUUGGUGAGGCAAUGGCUCACCAAGCCGACGACGGGUAGCGGGUCUGAGAGGAUGGUCCGCUCGAGUGGGACUGAGACACGGCCCACACACCUACGGGUGGCAGCAGUUGGGAAUCUUGCACAAUGGGGGAAACCCUGAUGCAGCGACGCCGCGUGGAGGAUGAAGGGUCUAGCCUGUAAACUCCUUUUAUGGGGAAAGACUUAGGACGGUACCCCAUGAAUAAGGACCGGCUAACUACGUGCCAGCAG